rnacentral:lncRNA from 1 species
GCCUGUGCCUCAUGCUGGGACAUGUUGUACACUCUGCCUGUAGCUCUGGAACGUCCACCACAUCCCCUCUGUUGGCUGGCACUCCUGCUAGCUACAACUGUCUCCCAGCCUCUCUAGUGCACUACCUCCAGAGCGGUUCCCAGAAUCACCGCUUUGGUUAGAGCCUCCACUCGAACUAACUCCAGGUCGAAACCCUGCAUAACCGUGGCCACUAGAUGAUCCAGAACUGUAACUGCCCCUCUUGGAUGACCCAUGGCGAGGACCA